rnacentral:sRNA from 1 species
CUCUGACAACGGACGGGGCACAAACCCGGCAAUGCCCCGGCCGUCGGAGGGCUCCAGCGCAAGCUGGGGCCCUUCACUUUUU